UACGGAGGGGGCUAGCGUUGUUCGGAAUUACUGGGCGUAAAGCGCACGUAGGCGGACUGUUAAGUCGGGGGUGAAAUCCUGGGGGCUCAACCUCAGAAUUGCCUCCGUAUACUGGCAGUCUCGAGUGCGGGAGAGGUGAGUGGAAUUCCCAGUGUAGAGGUGAAAGUUCGUAGAUACUGGGAAGAACACCAGUGGCGAAG
rnacentral:rRNA from 1 species